CAGGCUUAACACAUGCAAGUCGAGGGGCAGCAUGGUCUUAGCUUGCUAAGACUGAUGGCGACCGGCGCACGGGUGAGUAACACGUAUCCAACCUGCCGUCUACUCUUGGACAGCCUUCUGAAAGGAAGAUUAAUACAAGAUGGCAUCAUGAGUCCGCAUGUUCACAUGAUUAAAGGUAUUCCGGUAGACGAUGGGGAUGCGUUCCAUUAGAUAGUAGGCGGGGUAACGGCCCACCUAGUCUUCGAUGGAUAGGGGUUCUGAGAGGAAGGUCCCCCACAUUGGAACUGAGACACGGUCCAAACUCCUACGGGGGGCAGCAGUGAGGAAUAUUGGUCAAUGGGCGAGAGCCUGAACCAGCCAAGUAGCGUGAAGGAUGACUGCCCUAUGGGUUGUAAACUUCUUUUAUAAAGGAAUAAAGUCGGGUAUGGAUACCCGUUUGCAUGUACUUUAUGAAUAAGGAUCGGCUAACUCCGUGCCAGCAGCCGCGGUAAUACGGAGGAUCCGAGCGUUAUCCGGAUUUAUUGGGUUUAAAGGGAGCGUAGAUGGAUGUUUAAGUCAGUUGUGAAAGUUUGCGGCUCAACCGUAAAAUUGCAGUUGAUACUGGAUAUCUUGAGUGCAGUUGAGGCAGGCGGAAUUCGUGGUGUAGCGGUGAAAUGCUUAGAUAUCACGAAGAACUCCGAUUGCGAAGGCAGCCUGCUAAGCUGCAACUGACAUUGAGGCUCGAAAGUGUGGGUAUCAAACAGGAUUAGAUACCCUGGUAGUCCACACGGUAAACGAUGAAUACUCGCUGUUUGCGAUAUACUGCAAGCGACCAAGCGAAAGCGUUAAGUAUUCCACCUGGGGAGUACGCCGGCAACGGUGAAACUCAAAGGAAUUGACGGGGGCCCGCACAAGCGGAGGAACAUGUGGUUUAAUUCGAUGAUACGCGAGGAACCUUACCCGGGCUUAAAUUGCAGAUGAAUUACGGUGAAAGCCGUAAGCCGCAAGGCAUCUGUGAAGGUGCUGCAUGGUUGUCGUCAGCUCGUGCCGUGAGGUGUCGGCUUAAGUGCCAUAACGAGCGCAACCCUUGUUGUCAGUUACUAACAGGUUCCGCUGAGGACUCUGACAAGACUGCCAUCGUAAGAUGUGAGGAAGGUGGGGAUGACGUCAAAUCAGCACGGCCCUUACGUCCGGGGCUACACACGUGUUACAAUGGGGGGUACAGAGGGCCGCUACCACGCGAGUGGAUGCCAAUCCCCAAAACCUCUCUCAGUUCGGACUGGAGUCUGCAACCCGACUCCACGAAGCUGGAUUCGCUAGUAAUCGCGCAUCAGCCACGGCGCGGUGAAUACGUUCCCGGGCCUUGUACACACCGCCCGUCAAGCCAUGGGAGCCGGGGGUACCUGAAGUGCGUAGCCGCGAGGAGCGCCCUAGGGUAAAACUGGUGACUGGGGCUAAGUCAUAACA
rnacentral:rRNA from 1 species